rnacentral:lncRNA from 1 species
AACUGGAGUUGUAAAUCUGAUAUAUAGGACUUACUAGGUGAGACAUUUUCAAGGCUGAGAGUGUGUUUUCUAAAACAGUUGAAAUAAGCAAAGCAGAAAUUCUGCGGAAAGUCAAGAGAAUUUCUCUAUUUCAUUAUUACUCUGCUACAAUGCUGCAUUCUUGAGCUGCUAAAAUGGUUUUUCUACGAAUAGCUUAAAACUGUUAGUAAUUGUUCACGUAUGAUUUUCACCUUUUGCUCACAAGUCUGGAGAAUGCUCCUUUUGUUAUGACAGCAGAAUAAAAUCUAAUCUUUUCUUUCUAAUAGAUGCAGCAACAAGAACUUGCACAAAUGAGACAGAGAGAUGCCAAUCUAACUGCAUUGGCAGCUAUUGGUCCCCGGAAGAAACGGAAACUUGAUUCACCUGGACUGCUUACCAUAGGAGGAGAGGGGAAAAACACCAGUCAGUAGGAUUGCCAUGCUCUGACAAAUCUUUGGGAUAUUUCCUCACCUUUUUGGGACUAAGGUAGUUUUAUGGCACCCACUUUAAAAAAUAAUUGGAAUGACUUGUUCUACAACUCAAGUAUCAGCUUGGUCUUCAUGUCUGUACAGUUGGCUCUUGAUAAAUAACUUUUUAAGUGGUCAAAAUAUGUUUAGAAAGUGGUUGAAUCUAAAGAACCUUUAUACUGGUUAAGCUUGAGUUAUGUGAAAGCAGAUACAAUAGACCAUAAUGCCUUUUGCAAGUGUUUAUGGUCCAAGAAGUUACAACUUUUCACGCUUUUAAGCCUGUAGACUAACAGCAGAACAGGAAACUUUUUUGUGAUUUAUUGUGUCAUUGUCCUUUCAAGCACUGUUGCUCCAUGCAUCACUGACAUGAUAGAAUGCAGUAGAUAUCACAGUCCUGUUUUGGUGUAGGAUGUCACUCCUGCAGAUAGUUGUAAUUUCCCUUUUAGAUGUAGCAGGCUAUCAGUUAAAAAAAUACAGGUUUGAAUUUUCAGGUAGACAGAAUGUAGUUGAACAGUAUGUCCUUAUUGCUCUUUUAUGGAGUUAAAUGCAUACAUCUUUGUGAAGCUUUGAAAUUUCCAAGUUCAGUUCAGUUUUUGUGGCUUGUUUUGCUUGUUGUUUUCAAAACUCAAAAUACAUAAUAUCAUCAUUCACAGUAAAUAUAUUAAUAUCUAUUUGAAAACCAGUCUUUUAAAAUACUUUACAGAUAUUAUCCUAACUAAUUAUUGUACCUAUAUUUUUCUCGUUCUUAAAUAAAUGAGAUUUCAAAUAAUUUACCCCAGUGAUGAAUUACUGUAUUUCAGAUUUAAUUUCAAAUAGUGUUCUUGUCCAUCAGGAAUAUUUAAAAAUACAUAUAAUUGUGGUUUUAUUUUGUGAAAAGAAUUUGUGAGCAUUAACACAUUUCACAGACUUGGUAAUAGAAAGUAGGAAUGUCUUAAAUAGGAGGGGCAAUGCCAACUUUUUGUUGAUGAUUUAUACAUUCACUGCAAAUUAGAAUUAUUAGCAUACAUUGUGCCUGUUGCAAACAGGUAGAAAUAUGGUGAAUAAGAAGGCAGAAUGAUU